GUCUCAUUUCAGAAGAAAUGAGGCGACGUUGCGGAGGUCCGGUCGGUUGGCCCGGUGGAGGUCCAGGCGGUCGGCCCGGUGGAGGUCCAGGCGGUUGGCCCGGUGGAGGUCCUGGAGGGGACGGUCCUGGCGGUCGGCCCGGUGGAGGUCCUGGAGGAGACGGCCCCGGCGGUGGAGGACGGCUGGGGGAUCCGGCGUUGGAGGUCCGAAGGCGGCUCGUGAUUAGACCAACCAGCUCCUCAUCCAUGGAAGCAGGAUUGAAGGAGUCACUGGGGAUGAAGAGCGCUGGUCAGGGGCUGACGACCCCCCCCCCCCCCUCAUCUUUCUGGAGAAGGGUCUUCAUGGUGCAGGCGGCCAAACAGCUUGAUGACUGACUGGUUCCUUAUACUCCGGACCUCGUCCCGGAGCAGAGGACGGACCAAAGGCCUGCAGCGCAGCAGACUAGAGACUCGGUGGAACCGGUUCAAAGAGAGUUGACCUCUCCUUCAGGCGACUUAAGGGGAGACCAGAUGUGCGGCAGCUGGGUGUCAUGGUGCAGAGACCCAACGCUGCACUGAACUACACCAGUGUGUCCUACUCCCCCAUAAACCCUGAGGAUCCCUGGCUACACCAGCACAUUAAUCCACACCCAACAUCCACACACAGUGCACACUCUAUAGAGCUCGUAAGUCCGCCCCUUGCGGCGGGACCUCGUGAGAUCGUAAGAUAUGACUGGGUUUCAAUGGAGAGAAAGUAAUUAUUUUCUCCAUUUUAUGUUGCACCACAUUUUGGGGGAAGAAUGUUUGAAUCAAUCUUUGUCAUUUAUUUCUGUACUCCACAUCUGUAAUCCCAGCUGUUGUAUUUUAACACGGUAGCUGGGAACCCUCUUUAUAGGGAGCGACUAGAGGGAAGAGGCUGGAAGCAAACCUGUGCCUGGAUCUUAACCUUCUUUCUAAACCUAAUGCCGCAAUUUAACCGCAAAUAAAGUGAGGCCUAAAGUAACUUGACUCUCUUACCUAAACUUGCUUGCCUAAACUCGCUCGUCUAAACUUGCAUAAAACCUAAACUCGCUUGCAUAAAACCUGAACUUGCUUGGCUAAACUCGCGUCGCUUGCCUAAUACCUGAACUUGCUUGCCGGAACUUGCUUGCCGGAACUUGCUUGCCGGAACUUGCUUGCCGGAACUUGCUUGCCGGAACUUGCUUGCCGGAACUUGCGUGCCGGAACUUGCGUGCCGGAACUUGCGUGCCGGAACUUGCGUGCCUGAACUUGCGUGCCUAAACUUGCGUGCCUAAACUUGCGUGCCUAAACUUGCGUGCCUAAACUUGCGUGCCUAAACUUGCGUGCCUAAACUCGCGUGCCUAAACGCUAACUUGCUUAGCUUGACUCGCUUGCCUGUACUCGCUUGGCUAAACUCGCUUGGCUAAUACCUGAAGUCGCUUGCCUAAAACCUGAAGUCGCUUGCCUAAAACCUAAACUUGCUUGUCCAAACACGUUACACAAAGUUAACCAUCCAUAAUCUUUAACCCAAACCAGACUUGUCACUGGGUCGCUCCACUUUAAUUUAGAAGUUUCUUCUUUUACCUCAUCUGUGUUUUGAGUUUCAUUCUUUGAGGGCUUGAAGUGCUUUGGAGGAUAUUUGAACCUUUGUUUGCCGCAUCAAUAAACAUGCUUUAUCUUUACCCAUUUUGUUUUGGAUUGCAUUUCUAUAUGUAAUCCGGCCAAAUGUUCAGUGUCCUUACAUGUAAAGUCUAUGGUCCGAUGAUAAUCUGACCUCUUCAUGAAGCAGAAUGUGUGUGAAUGUUGUCCCGUGAGCUCCAGGCUCUCUUUGGGCCUGUCAACGUCUCUUUAGCAAAAGGUUGGAGUGAAAUUCAUUUUUGUGCUAUUUUCACGUGUUCCUGAGUAUUUCAGACCUGUGGUGUUUCACAUGAGACCUUAAUGGGAACUUUUCUUUGUCUGCCUGCCUACGUAAUGCCUACAUUAGUAGGGUGAUCGCUGUUGAUCCCAAUAUUGAUAAUUAACCACCUCAUUCUUUGGGAUUACAAAUCAUGCAAUUUAUGAGCAUAUUUGCAAAUGCCUCCAAAUAUCAGAUUGUGUAAAAACGAAUGAAAUGUAACCUGCUUGAUUUAAAGAAAAUAAAACAUCCAAAUAUUAUA